AUGAUGGAUCGGGUUCGAUUAGCCUGCGAGUCGAGAGGUGAAGACUCGGCAUACUGCUCAGUAACACGUGGACAACCUACCCUAAGGAGGGGGAUAACCCCGGAAAACUGGGGAUAAUACCCCAUAGACUACAGAAACUGGAAUGUUCUGUAAUCGAAAGGUCCGCCGCCUUAGGAUGGGUCUGCGGCUGAUUAGGUUGUUGUUGGGGUAACGGCCCAACAAGCCUGUAAUCAGUACGGGUUGUGGGAGCAAGAACCCGGAGAUGGAUUCUGAGACACGAAUCCAGGCCCUACGGGGCGCAGCAGGCGCGAAAACUUUACAAUGCGAGAAAUCGUGAUAAGGGAACCCCGAGUGCCCGUAAAUUCGGGCUGUUAAUCUGUGUAAAAAGCAGGUGGAGAAAGGGCCAGGCAAGACCGGUGCCAGCCGCCGCGGUAAUACCGGCGGCUCGAGUGGUGGCCACUAUUACUGGGCUUAAAGCGUCCGUAGCUGGAUUGUUAAGUCUCUUGGGAAAUCUACCGGCUUAACCGAUAGGCGUUCAAGGGAUACUGGCAAUCUAGGGACCGGAAGAGGUGAGAGGUACUCCAGGGGUAGGAGUGAAAUCCUGUAAUCCUUGGGGGACCACCUGUGGCGAAGGCGUCUCACCAGAACGGCUCCGACAGUGAGGGACGAAAGCUGGGGGAGCAAACCGGAUUAGAUACCCGGGUAGUCCCAGCUGUAAACGAUGUGCGUUAGGUGUAUCGGUGACCACGAGUCACCGAGGUGCCGAAGAGAAAUCGUGAAACGUACCGCCUGGGAAGUACGGUCGCAAGGCUGAAACUUAAAG
rnacentral:rRNA from 1 species